rnacentral:tRNA from 1 species
CAAAGGUAGUUUAUAAAAAUAUAGACUUUGGGAGUCUAAGAUGUUAGUUUAUCUAGCUCUUUGA